rnacentral:lncRNA from 1 species
GUUUAGUCUGAUGUGUCAAAACCAUGGACCACGAGCCACAUUAAAGCUGGCAAGAGGCCCUGAAGUUUGAGUAUACACUGCAUUCCCCUUGACUUUCUCCACAUUUUGUUACAUUACAGCCUUAUUCUAAGCGGUGUGGUCAGCAUGUUAUUCUAAAAUAGAUACAUUUUUUAUAUUUUUUUACUAAUCACGAUACCCCAUAAUGACAAAGCAAAAUUAGCUUUUUAGAUUUUUUUUCUCUCCAAAUUUCUUAAAAAGAAAAAACUGAAAUAUUACAUUUACAUAAGUUUACUGUAUUUAUGUGCGAAGGGAACAAUGUGGAACGUUCCCUAACUCUACUCUCCUUCAUGCACACACACACUGUCUUCUGUCUUCCUUCAUCCUCUACUCCUCCAUUCUCUUCUCCCUACAUCCCUGUAUAUCUUCCUCCUCUCUUCCCCACUCUCCAAGCACCCGUAUUGUUCCGGGGCUGGAGGGCUGUGUGUGUAUGUUGUGGUCAAGGACACCAGAUCAUUGGUCCUUAUAUAAUAACACAUUUACAAAAAUAUUUACAAACCUUUAAUAAGGUAAUGGAUGAGGGAGAGAGAGAGAGAGAGAGAGCAAGAGAGGAAGAAAGAGAGGGAGCGAGAGAGAAAUAGGUAGAGAGAGAGAGAGAAGGAGAGGUAAAUAGAGAAAUGAAAGGGUCCACAGUGAUGAAAGCAAAACGGCACUGUCAACCUUCACCAUAAGGAGGAGAAAAAGAGGGAGAGAGAUGAAGCGAGAGAUGGAGAUGGGAGAGAGAGAGGCAGGCGAGGUAGUGAUUGAGUGAGAACGGGGAGGAGAGAAAGAGAGAGAAUGGGGUAGAGGGAGAGAUAAAGAAAUAGUGUUUUGCAGGAAAUGUAUACAAAUAACUGCACUUAUUUGAAUAUUUUAGAAUAGAAAUCAGGGUACCUUAACUUGGGUAAUAUUUUAUUGACUCGUUAGAUCUUCAAAACUAUUUUUCAUAAUAAAUGGCCGCUUUAUGUUCUUCAAAGAACUGUAACAAUAAAAAUAAAAGUAAAAUACGGUAGAAAAUGUAUAAAAUUAAAAGGCUAAACAAACACUUAUAUGAACAAUACCACAGCUCAAUGCUUCUUAACUUCAGAUAUAGAGCAUAGAGACGGAGAACGAGAGAGGGGGUAGACUAGAGGGAGAGAGGAAGAGAAGGGUUAGACUAGAGGGAGAGAGGAAGAGAAGGGUUAGACUAGAGGGAGAGAGGAAGAGAAGGGUUAGACUAGAGGGAGAGAGGAAGAGAAGGGUUAGACUAGAGGGAGAGAGGAAGAGAAGGGUUAGACUAGAGGGAGAGAGGAAGAGAAGGGUUAGACUAGAGGGAGAGAGGAAGAGAAGGGUUAGACUAGAGGGAGAGAGGAAGAGAAGGAUUAGACUAAAGGGAGAGAGGAAGAGAAGGGUUAGACUAGAGGGAGAGAGGAAGAGAAGGGUAGACUAGGGAGAGAGGAAGAGAGGGGCAGACUAGAGGAAGAGAAGGGUUAGACUAGAGGGAGAGAGGGAGAGGGGUAGACUAGGGAGAGAGGAAGAGGGGUAGACUAGAGGGAGAGGGGUAGACUGGAGGGAGAGAGGAAGAGGGGUAGACUAGAGGGAGAGAGGAAGAGAGGGGUAGACUAGAGGGAGAGAGGGGGUAGACUAGAGGGAGAGAGGAAGAGACGGGUAGACUAGAGGGCGAGAAGAAGAGAGGGGGUAGACUAGAGGGAGAGAGGAAGAGAUAGGUAGACUAGAGGAAGAGAGGGGGUAGACUAGAGGGAGAGAGGGGGUAGACUAGAGGGAGAGAGGAAGAGAGGGGGUAGACUACAGGGAGAGAGGGGGUAGACUACAGGGAGAGAGGGGUAGACUACAGGGAGAGAGGGGUAGACUACAGGGAGAGAGGGGUAGACUACAGGGAGAGAGGGGUAGACUACAGGGAGAGAGGGGGUAGACUACAGGGAGAGAGGGGUAGACUACAGGGAGAGAGGGGUAGACUACAGGGAGAGAGGGUAAGACUACAGGGAGAGAGGGGUAGACUACAGGGAGAGAGGGGUAGACUACAGGGAGAGAGGGGUAGACUACAGGGAGAGAGGGGUAGACUACAGGGAGAGAGGGGUAGACUACAGGGAGAGAGGGGUAGACUACAGGGAGAGAGGGGUAGACUACAGGGAGAGAGGAACAGAGAGAAAUAGAGAUAUAUGGAAAGAUAAAGAGUUGGAGCGAGGGAAAUAAUUAGUUACAUUUUUCCGUCUCAUUUUUCAGUUUAAUCUCUUCCGCUCUCCCUCUAGUACUUUUUCUUUAAUGCUUUAUGUCCCGCCCCCAGUCUGAUUCCCAUGCAACCAUGUGAUUGGUUGGCAAUAUUGCUUGGAUGACCUGGGGGAGUUCACUGACAGCAGAUAGAAAUACAAUGAGCAGAUAAGAAACAAUGGAGAGUUCUGCCUGUUCUGGACAGUGAAUUUCUAUCUGCUUUGUCCUUAGUCUGUGUCUCAAAUGGCAGCCUGUGCACUACUUUUGACCAGAGCCACGUAGGGUUAGGAACAUAGGCCUCUGGUCUAUAGUCAUGCACUUUUAGAGGAAAAGGGUGCCAUUUUAAGACAGUCUUACACGCUCUGAAUGACAUCAUACUCACCCCCUCAACCUUCUCCACAGAGCCUGCCCUCUAAAACACACACACACACACACACACACACACACACACACACACACACACACACACACACACACACACACACACACACACACACACACACUCUCUCCUGCCUGGCUGGGAUUGAUCACCUGGACAACGGGCGGGACAAUCAACCAAUGAGGUGAAGCAACAGGAUGCACGGAGAGGGAGGGCCAAUGACAGUAAAUCAACUCAAAUUCUCUUAGCCAAUGGCAUCAUGAACAGCUCUAUCGCUAUAGAAACACAUGAUAAUACGUAAUAUUCAGUUUUGGAUUAUUUUACAGACAUUGUUGAUAUAAAACACUCAUCAGAGCAGGUACAGUCAUACAUGUAAUGUCUAUAGCACAGACUGUAAAACAGGACUGGGCCUGUGAACAUAUCCUGCCUUUCCACCAGGGUUACUCACUAAACCACGCCCCGACACAAACACACCACCCGGUCUCUCAGUAGCCCGGCCACACCUCUGUUGGUCAGUAUCUGCUGUGUGUUGGGAGGUGAGGGAAGGUUGAUUGGGUACAAAUUAAGUUGCGUGUCCUGUAUCUGUCCCGUCUUCUUAUUGAUGAUUGAUAUAUGAUCUUGCAAUAAUAGUAUAUCCUGUUUAUCAGCUGCUUCUAUCCAAAGCAACGUACAUUUUAACUUAUGGGUGACCCCAGCGGGAAUUAAACCUGCAAUCCUGAUGUUGCAAGCACCAUGCUCUACCAAUGGACCUACAGAGGACCACCAUGUGUUGAUCCAGUUGUUAUGUGUUGUCUGUCUGUCACUAUUAAGCCCAGUAAUAAUGGCCUGUUGGGUGUAAAUUACGUUUAUUACAUUGAAGUGAAUAAACCAGGUGGUAGAUCAUUAUAAACCCAGUUGGUAGUUUAGGUGGUAGAUCAUUAUAAACCCAGUUGGUAGUUUAGGUGGUAGAUCAUUAUAAACCCAGUUGGUAGUUUAGGCGGUAGAUCAUUAUAAACCCAGUUGGUAGUUUAGGUGGUAGAUCAUUAUAAACCCAGUUGGUAGUUUAGGUGGUAGAUUAUUAUAAACCCAGUUGGUAGUUUAGGCGGUAGAUCAUUAUAAACCCAGUUGGUAGUUUAGGUGGUAGGUCAUGGAUGUGCUGGGUUUAGGAGUAACCCCUGUAGUCUCUGCUCUGUUAGCGACACAUGGAGUAAGAUAAUUCAACGUGCAACAAUUUCCCCAUAGAGUUUAAACUGCAAACAUUUUCAUUAUCAUUCUUCCUCUUUUCUUCAUCAGCGUCUUCAUCAUCAUCAUCAUCAUCAUCUCAGAUAUUGUUGCCAUCACAGAGUCAGUGAUGAAGUUCUGGUGUGUGUGUGUGUAUAUAUAUAUAUAUAUAUAUAUAUGUGGUAUGUGUAGAUAGGUAGGUAGGUAGUUAGUUCUGGUGUGUGUAUAUAUAUAUGUGGUAUGUGUAGAUAGGUAGGUAGGUAGGUAGGUAGUUAGUUCUGGUGUGUGUAUAUAUAUAUGUGGUAUGUGUAGAUAGGUAGGUAGUUAGUUCUGGUGUCUCUGGCCUCCUCUCCAGAGUCAAAGUCUUUUGUUUCCAUAGUGUUGAUAGGUUGAUAUCACAUUGUGACAUUGUAUUGCGUUGUACAAUAAACGUCCCAGCAACACUUCAAACACACAGCUCCUUCUCCCAUCUACCUAUAGCGAGUCGGCGUAUCAAGCCACCAUGGCAACCCUGGUGGGUGUGGCUCUUCCUGUCUUGUUGCCGGGGUAACAUCCAUCCUGCUGACUUGUGGGUUAGGGCUAGGUUCAGGGUUCAGGUAAUCUGGUGUUACACCACUGGACAAAACACCAGCCUUACACUCAACUAUAACUGAGUUUAUCAGGGUGUUAAUCUGGCUAUUCUGAUUUUGACUCCGUAUGACAGAAGACAAGCAUUCUCUGGGAUCUUUCCCAGCGUGACCCGCCCCCUCCUCUCUCUGACCCUGCUCCCCCC